rnacentral:rRNA from 1 species
UCAGUAACGGCGAGUGAAGCGGCAACAGCUCAAAUUUGAAAGCCCGCGGGCGUUGUAAUUUGCAGGCGGAUGUUUUGGGGCGGGCGCUGUCUACGUUCCUUGGAACAGGACGCCGCAGAGGGUGAGAGCCCCGUGCGAUGGCGCCUCUAACCGCGUAAAACUCCGCCGACGAGUCGAGUUGUUUGGGAAUGCAGCUCCAAGUGGGUGGUAAAUUCCAUCUAAAGCUAAAUACUGGCGAGAGACCGAUAGCGAACAAGUACAGUGAUGGAAAGAUGAAAAGCACUUUGAAAAGAGAGUGAAACAGCACGUGAAAUUGUUGAAAGGGAAGGGUAUGCGAUUAGCGGCCAGCAGGAGGUGCCUUCUCGUGAAAAGGCCGUGCACCGUCUUCGGACACCGUGCGCGGAGAUGGCGAGGGGGCGCCUGAGGUCUGCGAACUCGAGGUUGCUGGCGUAAUGAUUGCAUACCAC